CAGUAGCGUAUAUUAAAGUUGUUGCAGUUAAAAAGCUCGUAGUUGGAUUUCUGGCCUGGCAUGCCUGGCCCGCCGCGAUUACGUGUGUGAGUGCCGGCGCGUGCCUGCCAUCCUUGUAGAAAACGUUUCUACCCUUCACUGGGCCGGAUUCGCGAUCUACAUCUUUUACUUUGAAAAAAUUAGAGUGUUUAAAGCAGGCUUUUGCUAUGAAUACAUUAGCAUGGAAUAAUGAUUUAGGACUUCGGUUCUAUUUUGUUGGUUUCCAGGACUGAAGUAAUGAUUGAUAGGGAUAGUUGGGGGUGCUACUAUUCCGCGGCCAGAGGUGAAAUUCUUGGAUUCGCGGAAGAGUAACUUAUGCGAAAGCAUUCACCAAGGAUGUCUUCUUUAA
rnacentral:rRNA from 1 species